UAUGAAUAAUACGUGGCGAACGGCUCAGUAACACGUAGUCAACAUGCCCAAAGGACGUGGAUAACCUCGGGAAACUGAGGAUAAACCGCGAUAGGUCAUAAGUACUGGAAUGUUUUAUGGCUCAAAUCUACAUGGCCUCUGGAUUGGACUGCGGCCGAUCAGGCUGUUGGUGAGGUAAUGGCCCACCAAACCUGUUACCGGUACGGGCUCUGAGAGGAGGAGCCCGGAGAUGGGCACUGAGACAAGGGCCCAGGCCCUAUGGGGCGCAGCAGGCGCGAAACCUCUGCAAUAGGCGAAAGCUUGACAGGGUUACUCUGAGUGAUUCCCGCUAAGGGAAUCUUUUGGCAUCUCUAAAAACGAUGCAGAAUAAGGGGUGGGCAAGUCUGGUGUCAGCCGCCGCGGUAAUACCAGCACCCCGAGUGGUCGGGACGAUUAUUGGGCCUAAAGCAUCCGUAGCCGGUCUUGCAAGUCUUCCGUUAAAUCCACCUGCUUAACAGAUGGGCUGCGGAAGAUACUACAAGACUAGGAGGCGGGAGAGGCAAGCGGUACUCAGUGGGUAGGGGUAAAAUCCUCUGAUCCAUUGAAGACCACCAGUGGCGAAGGCGGCUUGCCAGAACGCGCUCGACGGUGAGGGAUGAAAGCUGGGGGAGCAAACCGGAUUAGAUACCCGGGUAGUCCCAGCUGUA
rnacentral:rRNA from 1 species